GCCUCUCAGCCUUUGGCCCACCAUACACACGGGACUUGUGAAAGAAAGAGGAAACAGGCACGGACCCCAGUGCGUCCAGCUAACUACAGUGUGAGGACUGCUUUCACAUUCCCGCACUGGACAUCAAGCAGCUCGGCAGACCGGCACCUCAGGAAGUCCAGGCCGGCUCCUGAAACCGAUGGAGGAGCCUGGCUAACCACUCCACCCGAAUGAACUGUAGCUCACACUUAUCCUCCCUGGCAUGGAUGUCACCACGCAAACCAGAAACACCUUAGCACAGUCUGACAAGAUAAGGACUUUAAGAAAUGGAGGUAGUAUCAAAAGAUCGGUCCGGCUCUCAGACCUCAUCGGAGGGGUCUCUGUGCAUCCAAGGAGAGAGAAUGAAUGUCAGCGGAGUUGCCAAACACAGCCGGGACAUCUAUAACACUGACGGUUCAAGAACCAUUGCAG